AAUUGAUUUUGUCAAAGAUUAUUGAGGGAGAAAUUGACACUAAAGAGAAUUGGAUAUUUUUGACAAAAUUUUGUUUCAUAUCACAAAACGGUAUCUUUGAAUACAAUAUAUCGUAUCCAAAGAGUUAUGGACCGCAAAAUAUAUUACUAUAUUUUGACUCCAAAACCCAGUGGCCAGAAGCUAAUCAAACGGAUAAAUCAUGUGAGGAUAAACAUAGACUAUUGGCUAACGACAACAAUCAGAUCAUCCAAUUGACCGAAUACUCCAGCAAAGUUCGGGCCACUCACGCAUCGGGAUGUAAACUAUAUCGGGAACAGUACGACAACGGGACACUAUGGUAUCGGUGCGUACAUUACCGCAAGUUUAGCACCACUAGGGAACGGUGGUGGUUCAUAGCCAUUGAUAAUUGUCAAUCAA